GAUGAACGCUGGCGGCGUGCCUAAUACAUGCAAGUCGAGCGAACGGACGAGAAGCUUGCUUCUCUGAUGUUAGCGGCGGACGGGUGAGUAACACGUGGAUAACCUACCUAUAAGACUGGGAUAACUUCGGGAAACCGGAGCUAAUACCGGAUAAUAUUUUGAACCGCAUGGUUCAAAAGUGAAAGACGGUCUUGCUGUCACUUAUAGAUGGAUCCGCGCUGCAUUAGCUAGUUGGUAAGGUAACGGCUUACCAAGGCAACGAUGCAUAGCCGACCUGAGAGGGUGGACGGCCACACAGGAACUGAGGCGCGGUCCAGACUCCUACGGGAGGCAGCAGUAGGGAAUCGUCCGCAAUGGGCGGAAGCCUGACGGAGCGACGCCGCGUGGGUGAUGAAGGUCUUCGGAUCGUAGAACGCUGUUAUUAGGGAAGAACAGGUGUGUAAGUAACUGUGCACAUCUUGACGGUACCUAAUCAGAAAGCCGCGGCUAACUACGUG
rnacentral:rRNA from 1 species